rnacentral:rRNA from 1 species
GAUGAACGCUGGCGGCGUGCCUAAUACAUGCAAGUCGAGCGGACGGACGCGAAGCUUGCUUUUCUGAUGUUUGCCGCGGGCGGGUGAGUAACACGUGUAUCCCCUCCCUAUAAGACUGGUAUAACUUCGGGACACCGGAGCUAAUACCGGAUAAUCUUUUGAUCCACAUGGUUCAAUGGUGAGAGACGGUCUUGCGGUCACUACUAGCUGGAUCCGCGCUGCAUUAGGUAGUUGGUAAGGUCACGGCUUACCAAGGCAACGAUGCAUAGCCGAACUGAGGGGGUGAUAGGCCACACUGGAACUGAGACACGGUCCAGGCUCCUACGGGAGGCAGCAGUAGGGAACGGUCCGCAAAGGGCGAAAGCCUGACGGAGCAAGGCGGAGUGAGUGAUGAAGGUCUUGGGAGCGUAAAAAUCGGUUAUGAGGGAAGAACAUAUGUGGAAGUAACCGUGCACAGCUUGACGGUACCGAAUCAGAAAGCCACGGCUAACUACGUG